rnacentral:ncRNA from 1 species
UAUAUUGCAUUGAAGGGAAAUAGUAAAUAUGAAUGGUCAAAAGAGAGGAAAUCAUAAGGUGAGAGAUUUCUGGCCCUCUUUACAUUGAACCCGUCCCUGAGUUUUUAGAUUGAAAAGAAGUAGGUCUAAACGGUAGUUCCGUUAUAACUUUCGAGUGGAUUUAUUAUUUUAAAUCUAUUAGAGUGGUACCGCGAAGAAUACCUUCGUCUCUAUU